AUCGCCUCCGGUGGGCCACGGCUUCGAUUGGUAGUUUAGGGCUCCAAAAAACGGGUUGGAGUUUUGGCGUUUACAAAACACUUCUGUUUUUUAUUCUAGUUUGUAAGUAGCUGCAAAACCUUGUUGUAAGUGUUCAGAAAAGUUGCUUCAUACUAACUCAUCGCCAGUGAAGCAGAGAACUUGAGUGUAAUUUGGGGGGAGUAGAUUGUGGGUGGCAGCCCUCUCACAGUGAAAGAGCCCCGAAAAUUAUGGAGCAGAAAUCUGAACAUUUUUGUGCAAGAUCAAUAUUCAAAUGGGCUUUUGUUUUAGGCGUACUACUUUUCCAAGUUCUAGAAAUACAAGCGUAUUAUCACAGAAAGAAGUCAUACAAAGAAUUACACAAGAUCUGCAUUAAUAGAUUCGCUUUUGAACAUUUGUCAGCUUCCAGUUGAACUAAGCUGGCAUAAUAUUCUUCCUAGAAUGAAACGGUUGCGUCCUAUACGUAUUCUUAGUGACCUGACGGAAAACUAGCAUUAUGUACAUAUAAAGAUACUUGUUAUUAUAUAAUAUCACAGCAUCCAGUGCUGCAUUAUCCAAAAUAUCCAGAAAAGUAACUCCAUAUAAUUUCUUUUUUCAACCACUUGUGCGAAUUUUCUCCAUGGUGUAGAACUUCCAAGAAUCGAACAUAUGAGAUAGUUGGGUCGUUUCGAAAGAAAAAUUCAGAAAAUAUGUUAUUGAAUGUUAUAUUAUUUUAUUUGCUAAAUUAAAUGUGCCAUACUUUUAAGUUAAACUUCAGUAUUUUCUUAGAUUAUUAACAAGAGUUCUUUCUUCCGUUCCAAUUUGGAAUAAGUUUCGUAUAGGUAAACAAAGGUACACCCUCUGUUUUUAUUUCGCAGUUAGCUACUUGCUUAAAAUGUAUUUAAAUCUUGUUUCGCUACUAAUCAGUUCAGCAGAGGUAUUGUUUUUGUUGUUUUAUCUUUCCUUUACUCAAAACUGUACAUAUAAUUAUAUGUAUUUUCCACUUUAAUAAGUCAGUAUCUACAAGUUUCAGGAAAUUAAAAAACUUGGUACCAUGCCAGAUUUAGUUUUUAGCUGUGGAAAAAGGCUAUUGGCUUUAGAUGUUUUUACCAAAAGUACUUAAAAUGACACUUUUAAUAAAAGCUUGAUUACAUGAUUCAAAUGAAUAGGCUUAUGUCAAUUAUCGAAAUUAAAUAUGAAGUUCUCAUUAAGAAAUAACCUUUCAAAAAUAAUCUGUAAAUAUUUCAUAUAAUAGUAAUGGAAUGGUGUCUGAUAUAAAUGUAUUAUACUACCCAAUAGAUGACCAUGGCA